rnacentral:ncRNA from 1 species
UUUAGGCAUUGGUUUAUGCCUUGACAGUUAUAGUUAUGUGUUUUCCGUGUUAAAUUUUUGUGUAAAGAAAAGUAAAGUUUUAUUAUAGCUUGAAAAUUUAGUAAAUAAUAAUUUUACAUGCGAAUUUUAGGUUAAAAAUUAUGGGUGAGCAGUGAACUAAUUUAAUGAUUAAGGAAUCUUAGAAUUAGAUAUUUAUUUAAGUAUAAACAAAUCUUGUGCCAGCAGUUGCGGUUAAACAUGAUAUACUUCUGAAUUUGGUUUGGGUGAUAAUUAUCUUUUUUGUUGGGAAUGAGGAUUGAUUAUAUAAGGUGAAAUUUUAUAAUUGAUUUAAUUUAUUUUGUAAUGAGACGUUAUUAGAUUUUUUAUAUAGACUAGGAUUAGAUACCCUAUUAUUUAAAAUGUAAAAUUAAACUCCUGAGGAGUAUUAGGUGUUCUUGAAAUUUAAAAAAUUUGGCGGUGUUUUAGUCUAUUCAGAGGAACCUGUCCUGUAAUUGAUAAUCCACGAUUAAUUUGACUUGUUCUUUAAGUUUGUAUAUCGUCGUUAUUUGAAUAUCUUUUAAAGGGGGAAUAUUCAAUCUUUAAAAUUUUAAUUUAAAUCAGAUCAAGGUGCAGUUUACGUGCAAGUAGAGAUGGGUUACAAUAAAAAUAUUUUUAUGGUUUGAGAGGUGAAAUUCUCACAAUAAAUAGGAUUUGAUAGUAAAAUAAAUGAUUUAAUUAAUUUGAUUAAAGCUCUAAAAUAUGCACAUAUCGCCCGUCGCUCCCACCCUAAGGUAGGAUAAGUCGUAACAUAGUAGGUGUACCGGAAGGUGUACCUGGAAAGCA